GGCUAAGGAUUUGAACACGUAGGAUAUGAAUACUAUUUUAAGAUGCAAUAACUUCGAGAGAUGGCUUACCAGCACCAAGUGUACCAACGAUUGCUGCGGUUACUAAACAAAAGAAGAAGACAAAAACAAUCUUUAGAUUUGUAUUACUUUUAAGUAGGCCUAUAGGGCUAGUACCGAACAUAUUCCAUUCAAAACCCUGAACAAACAUUUCUACCAAAAUGUUAAAGAGAAGCUACUUACAAAGACCCAUCUUGCAGAGAGACGACUAGGACCAGAGAAUGUCUAAUAUGAGGAGAACUGGCACUCGCGGGUUAUUUCCGGGUUUCUGGACUGGUUGCAGUAAUAAUCUUUGACCACGCGGGGCGCUCGUAGGCGAGUCCAGAAUGAAUGGGAGCCAACGGGGUUUUAUCCUCAGAAUCCACUUUUCUCACGAUGUAAUUUUUUGUCAAGUAAUUUUAAAGUUGCUAUCAAAGGGUGGGGCUAAGAUAAUAAACUCAGCUGAAUAUUGCAUUUUUUAAGGUCACGUAUCUGUUCUAAAAAGGCGUUAAAAACAUGCGAUGACGUCACACACUGUAAUACUGUCAGAGGUACUGCUUUACGGCAGUUUCUAAAGCACUUCCCUUGUCCCGCAACGAUAACACCAGCUGUUGGAGUCGGACCUUGAUGCUGUGACAACGGACAAGAAUUCUUCCUCUGUCCUUUUCCCCUGCCUCUGUUCAGUAUGUUCAGUGUUGUUAAAUCAUCUUUUUUUUUAUUAGUUACUGUUCUUAUUGUGUUCUUGUUAGUGUGAUUUUUUAAUAAACUUGCCUGUUGCAAUGUUGGUAUAAUGUUUGUAUAAUUACUGUUAUACAACUGUUACUGUUUCAAUGUGACCCAGACCAUAUUUCUCAUUUAACAAACAUGUGUAGCUUAUAAUGUGUUGCAUGGCAGAGCAAUUACGGUAUAU